CAAUAGCGUAUAUUAAAGUUGUUGCGGUUAAAACGCUCGUAGUUUGAAAUCUGUUAAGGACGAUCUGUCUGCCCUCUGGGUGUGUAUUUGGUCUAGCCUUGGCAUUUCCUUGAACAAGACAACUGCACUUGAUUGUGUGGUGUUGAUUUCAAGGUGUUUACUUUGAGGAAAUCAGAGUGCUUCCAGCAGGUGUGCGCCUUGAAUACAUUAGCAUGGAAUAUCAUUAUAUGGUUUGGAUUUUUACUUGUUGGUUUUUAAAAUUGAAGCAAUGAUAAAUAGGGAUAAUUGGGGGCACUUGUAUUUAAUUGUCAGAGGUGAAAUUCUUGGAUUUGUGAAAGACAAACUACUGCGAAAGCAUUUGCCAAAAAUGUUUUCAUUGA
rnacentral:rRNA from 1 species